CAGAGACAAAAUUAGAGACAGUAAAGGUGG
rnacentral:piRNA from 1 species